CCAAGUAAGGCUGCAAGCUGAGGCCCCUUUUUCUUGGUUGUUUCUCUCGUUCUCCAUCGAACCCUUCUUCAAAAUAUUUAUUCUUUUUCCUUUGAUGUUUCGAGAAUGGGUUCAUAUUGGGCUCAGUUCAAAAGCAUGGAGACCGUUCAAGUGUUCUGCUUCUAUUCUGAAAGAAGCGGUUAAAGAGGAAUACAGGAGGAAGCACCUGGAGGGAUGUUGGCCCAUGUGGCUUAUCACUAUAUUAACCAAUUGGCAAGAUUGUUUCUCUUACCUCUGUCUGGAUCUGAUAUAAGCUGGAAGCAAUCAAGGGAGGCUCUUUCAUUUACUCAUGCUAACGAUGUUACUAGCAAUUGAUAUAAGAUCAUUAAAGCUGUGCUUUGUUCCAGCUUUUGUAUGUCGAAAUGCUUCCUAUGUAUCAAGCCACUAUACUCUUGUACAACUUCAAGCAUAUAUUUAGUGCCAAUGGAAAGUAAAAGAACGAGUGCUGGGGA